rnacentral:snRNA from 1 species
GUGCUUGAAAUUGUCGGGAGG